rnacentral:rRNA from 1 species
GAUCAUGGCUACAGGAUGAACGCUAGCUACAGGCUUAACACAUGCAAGUCGAGGGGCAGCAUGGUCUUAGCUUGCUAAGGCCGAUGGCGACCGGCGCACGGGUGAGUAACACGUAUCCAACCUGCCGUCUACUCUUUGGACAGCCUUCUGAAAGGAAGAUUAAUACAAGAUGGCAUCAUGAGUUCACAUGUUCACAUGAUUAAAGGUAUUCCGGUAGACGAUGGGGA